AUCUGGUGCCUGCUGGGAACCGCGGUGUCAGAGCAUGUGCCCGCUGUAUUUAUAGCUCCCGGGAGGCACCGGAGGGAGCAUGGGGAGCUGGCAGGAGCGGUUCAGGCCGUACUAAGCGUUCCGUGCGGCCGAGAGGCAGCGGCUGAGGGCUGAAAGCCUCCCCGGAGCGGUCUGACAGUGCCACCGGCCAGCUGAGAGUGCAUUAAGCCUUGCCCUCGUGUGCGUGGGCUCACGCAGAGGGGGGCGACAUGGAUGUCGUGCCCAACAACAAAGCUCCCCAGGGAUGCACUGCCAGCCUGGAAGGUGGUGCUGUGUUUAUAGGCAUCAGUGACCAGGACUGGACCUCUCUUGAGUCGAGGCCAGAGAGCUGCUUCAUGCUGUACGCACCGCGUGGAACUUGCAGGCAUUGAGGUCUUUAAAUACCCCAGCAUGCUCUGGGACUCGGCUUUCCCGAGGAGGAGACAACAUGCCUUUCUGCAUUGUACCCUCAUUUCACCCCUGCAAGGUCUGUUGAGGUCUCUUCUCAUGAGCCUCCAGUGUGAGAAAUGGAUGUCAGCUGUGAUUUCCAGAAGCACCCUUUGUUCCUUGGUCUCCUGAGAAGAUGGAGCCUUUCCCCAGCUUGUAAGAAAGGGGAGGAGAGCCACCCCCCACAAGGAGAUAUUUUCCCACACAAGGAGCAAAAGCAGGUCUGGUGUCUCCUCUUUUCAUGGGAAAGCAAACACCCCUUUAACACCCCCAGGCUCCUGCUGCUGGUUUCACACAGACCCCCCCGGCUAGUGAUGCUCACAGCUGCUGCCUGACUACCCAGAUUGACAAGGUGUGCACUCAGGUGUCAGCUCUUCUGACUGGUGUAUGUUCACUGCCAGAGAUAUGCUUCUCAUGGUGUUCACCAGAUCUCUUGGAAGGUGUGACAGCUGUGAACAGUAUCAGCAAUGCCUGGGCAGGUUUGGUGUGGAGAUUACUGAUGAAGAGUUUGAGCUGCUACUUGACAGAAUCCCCCUUGAUGAAGAUGGAAAUGUCAAAUACCCCCAGUUCAUGCUCAGGUUUGAUUCCUGGUAUACAGCAUAUGCAUUUUAUUCCUCAUUUGUGAGCAGGAUUAUUUUUAAUCUAAAAGGCUCACGUAGCAUUUCCAGACUGAAUCUCAUUUCUUAACUGUGCUCCUUUAUGACAUUUCUUGCAAAGAGUGUGCUGAUUAUAUUUAAAAUUAGCUGGUGUUGUGGGUGUAUACUGUUUGUAAUUUAAUUUCUCUUUACAUGCUAUUUACAUUAUUUAGAAGAAAG
rnacentral:lncRNA from 1 species